rnacentral:rRNA from 1 species
GACCGUCUGCCGCAUGGUGGAUGGUGUAAGCUCCGGCGGUGCAGGAUGAGCCCGCGGCCUAUCAGCUUGUUGGUGAGGUAGUGGCUCACCAAGGCGACGACGGGUAGCCGGCCUGAGAGGGCGACCGGCCACACUGGGACUGAGACACGGCCCACACUCCUACGGGAGGCAGCAGUGGGGAAUAUUGCACAAUGGGCGAAAGCCUGAUGCAGCGACGCCGCGUGAGGGAUGACGGCCUUCGGGUUGUAAACCUCUUUCAGCAGGGAAGAAGCGAAAGUGACGGUACCUGCAGAAGAAGCGCCGGCUAACUACGUGCCAGCAGCCGCGGUAAUACGUAGGGCGCAAGCGUUGUCCGGAAUUAUUGGGCGUAAAGAGCUCGUAGGCGGCUUGUCACGUCGGUUGUGAAAGCCCGGGGCUUAACCCCGGGUCUGCAGUCGAUACGGGCAGGCUAGAGUUCGGUAGGGGAGAUCGGAAUUCCUGGUGUAGCGGUGAAAUGCGCAGAUAUCAGGAGGAACACCGGUGGCGAAGGCGGAUCUCUGGGCCGAUACUGACGCUGAGGAGCGAAAGCGUGGGGAGCGAACAGGAUUAGAUACCCUGGUAGUCCACGCCGUAAACGGUGGGCACUAGGUGUGGGCAACAUUCCACGUUGU